GGCGAACGCUGGCGGCGUGCUUAACACAUGCAAGUCGAACGGAAAGGCCCUGCUUUUGUGGGGUGCUCGAGUGGCGAACGGGUGAGUAACACGUGAGUAACCUGCCCUUGACUUUGGGAUAACUUCAGGAAACUGGGGCUAAUACCGGAUAGGAGCUCCUGCUGCAUGGUGGGGGUUGGAAAGUUUCGGCGGUUGGGGAUGGACUCGCGGCUUAUCAGCUUGUUGGUGGGGUAGUGGCUUACCAAGGCUUUGACGGGUAGCCGGCCUGAGAGGGUGACCGGCCACAUUGGGACUGAGAUACGGCCCAGACUCAUACGGGAGGCAGCAGUGGGGAAUAUUGCACAAUGGGCGGAAGCCUGAUGCAGCAACGCCGCGUGCGGGAUGACGGCCUUCGGGUUGUAAACCGCUUUCGCCUGUGACGAAGCGUGAGUGACGGUAAUGGGUAAAGAAGCACCGGCUAACUACGU
rnacentral:rRNA from 1 species